AAUUAUUGGUAAUAGGUUUAUUAAAAAAUAAGUUGGUAAGUAAUAAAUAUUUGGUAAGUAUGUACAUUAAAAAUUAUUGGUAAGUAGCCUAUAUGAAAAAUACUUUGGUAAGUAAAUAAUAUAAAUAAGUUUAUUUUUACGUCAUGUAAAUAUGUAUAUAUAUUUCAGUAAAUAAAAUGUUGCUUUGACGAUUGAAAAAUAGUAAAUAAUUUGUAAGAAGGUACGGUAAAUAAGUGUUUUAUAGCGGUAAGUCCCUUGGUAAUAAGAAAGAAAGAAAACAAUUUAUUCUACACACAAUUAAUCUCUUAAUUCAGGUAUCUAUCUAACAUGAACUUGUUUUGUAUUACAGAGAGAUCUACAGGUGUCGAAUACGACGAAUCAAUGCUAAGAUUAUUUCGAUUUCUUGAGAAAUUAUCACUAAAACCACAUAAAAUAACCAAAAUAAAUAAGCGUAAAAUUCGUUAAAAUGAUAAAUUCUUUGUAAAUUGUAAAAUAUGUUGGUAUUGCUGUCGAAAUGUCAUUGCAUAUUGAUGUUCCAAAACUGUUUAUUUCGUUUGAGGGUUACGACUAUCAGGGUAAAUGUAUGAACGUUUUAUACUUAACUAGCGACCCGCUCCGGCUUCGCACGGGAUAACAGUAUUUCCCUACUAUUUAAUGUAUGUUAUUAUACAUAUAAACCUUCCUCUUUAAUCACUCUAUCUAUUAAAAAAAACCGCAUGAAAAUCGGUUGCGUAGUUUUAAAAAUUUUCGACAAAGGGACAUAGGGACAAAAAGCGACUUUGUUUUAUACUAUGUAGUGAUGUACCUACUCUGAAUGAAAUAUGUAGUAUAUAUACCUACCAUACUUAGUACCUUAUCAUUGCGUAUCAUUUGUGCCAAAAACUAAUUGAUUAUCGAGCACACGCAUCCCUCUACAUAACCGUAAUUGCAAUUAAUUUUUAGAGACUUGGAACUAAAACUUUAAUAUUUAUGCGAGGGAUUGUUUUAUGUUUCAGGUUAAUUUUAUUGAAAACUGCUCUGCGAAUCUAUUAUCAUUCAGCUAGAAUUCUGUGCGAUGAAUCUUCAGAUUAGGUACAGACAUAUUGUAGUUUCCUGGAAUUCUAUCUCAAAGGCACUGUUGUUAUAUUUCUAAGCGUUUAUUUUUGUUUAUUUUUAUCGUAUUUAUUGAGGCAGGUUAUGUAACACCAUGGCGCACCAAGUUUAAAGGCACAAAAGACAAAGUACAUACACAAUUGGCAUUGCUAAGUUGAUACGCUUAAUAUCCAAUCUUUCGUGGCUCCGGUUUAUACCACUGUUCAUUAAAAACAAUUGCCGCGAAGUAUCAUCAAAUCAUUGUAUAUAAAUAAAAUAUAUAGUUAUAUACAGAUACAGAAAGAUGGUUAGAAUUUAUUGUAUUUAGUGAACAGUGGUGUAGAAUUACCAGCAUUUAAGCAAGCCGGCCUUGCUUAAGCGCUGGUAAUAUUGGUUUUAUUUCAUAAAGGUAAUUUGGUUGGUAUUUUUUUAGACAGGGACCCGAACUGACAAUCAUUGAAUGGAAACGAAGUACCAAUGGACGUGCUGGGUAUCAACUGCUAUUUGAAUACAUUGAGUUAAUGGGAGGAAUGCUUGCCUAAGCAAAUGGAAGUCAGGCCUAAACACGUCAGCGGGGCCCAACAGGGCCAAGGUGCAGACCUUGGGCUGCGGGAUUGUUCGAAACAGUUACCGCGGCCCUGGUACAUAAAAGGCCUACGACGGAACACGACAGUUUUUGGUCAGUAAGAAUCUGACACUCCCUCACCGCUGCUAAGCCACAGCGGGAGGGGUCCUUUGAUGAUUAUUGACGUCGUUAAAAACAAGACCUAAACACAUGAAAGUAAUAUCUAAACAAAUGAGUGCCUCAGCAAUUCGCGACAUCUAAACUAAACAUACCAACAAACUAUAUACAACACCUUUAAAAUAACGCAAAAAAAAGGAAUCAGGCAGAAGGCCUCGUCUGUCGUCGGCUGUCAUUAAACAUCCUUGACAGUCGUUACGGGUAGUCAGAAGCCAGUCUGACACCAGUCUAACCAAGGGGUAUUGGGUUGCCCGGGUAACUGGGUUAAGGAUGUCAGAUAGGGCAGUCGCUCCUUGUAAAGCACUGGUACUCAGGUACACCCGGUUAGACUGGAAGCCGACCCCAACAUAGUUUGGGAAAAAGGUUCGGAGGAGGAGGCAGAAGGCCUCGUGAUACAGAAGCCAAAUAAACUAUGUUUAUAACAAAUUCUAAACAAGUUACAAAAAUAAUGAAACAUUAAGAAGAAAAUGGAAAAUUUCC